rnacentral:pre_miRNA from 1 species
AUACUACUCCCUCCGUUCGGAAUUACUUGUCUCGGAAAUGGAUGUAUCUAGAACUAAAAUACAUCUAGAUACAUCCAUUUUCGCGACAAGUAAUUCCGAAUGGAGGGAGUAUAAG